rnacentral:rRNA from 1 species
UACGUAGGGGGCAAGCGUUGUCCGGAUUUAUUGGGCGUAAAGAGCUCGUAGGCGGUGUGUCACGUCGGCCGUGAAAACCUGCAGCUUAACUGUGGGCGUGCGGUCGAUACGGGCAUCACUGGAGUUCGGCAGGGGAGACUGGAAUUCCUGGUGUAGCGGUGAAAUGCGCAGAUAUCAGGAGGAACACCGGUGGCGAAGGCGGGUCUCUGGGCCGAUACUGACGCU